UCCCAAUUCAUAGAACAAACAUCAGAUAUGUAAAUAACAGUUUUAGGAGUGUCCGGAAAUAGAGUAUUAUAAAUAUAGAUCGGAGAGUAUCUUCAUCGAUAUUUAUGCGUCACAUACUGAUAACAAAUUUCUGGGAGAAUAGACAUACCUGUGUAACUCGAAGUUAGCUCUGAGCAUACUGUGAAUCACGGCGUGCCCCCGGCGUCGUCUGCUGAUAAUGAGUACCAAACUAGUAUAAAGCAGCUUGCCGGCCGACCGCCCGCUCAGUCCUGUCUUGUACACAGACGUGAGCGUGUGUGUGAUUAUCUUACCCUCGGACUUCCUUCCUGUUAUCUUUUAUAAUGGCUGACUCUGACCGCAUUGUGUAUCCUGACGAGGUCGCCGAGGCCAAGGCAGACGCUAUUGCUGCAGCAGAAGCUGAAGACAAGACAUCAGGCGGAGACAGCAACACCGUGGACACACCAGCCCCCGGAGGAAUCAUAAUGAGGAAUGCUGUCACAGUUCCUAACAACUGUCCACCUGGGCAUAAGAUGGGAGCUGACGGCGUUUGUCGUGAAGUGUUUUAAUUGUUUGUAUGUAAUUCUAAGUUAGCAGCUAAAGAGAGUCGAGCAUAUUUUUAUGUAAAGGCAUAAUGUAAUACGCCAGUAUUUUAGAACAAAUUUCGCAGCAACUGAUGUGUUACAUUAAAUGAAACCAUUCACACAUGCACAUUAUUGCGCAUGGUAUUGUACCAGUAUUAUUGAAUUUAAAUCGAAUUGGAGAUGUACUUUCUAUUUAUAUUUAAGUUUUGUGGUUAUAUUAAUAUUGUCUGUUUGUGUUGUUAAUAAAAAUAAUGGUAUGUUUUAUUAAAUAUUAACUGCCGUAAUAAGAGACAUUUAAUGAUUACCGACUUAAACGAAAAAAAAAAGUUAAGGACUGGUUUGGGUAACCAUUAAAUUACUUUGUUAACGGCGGUAAAUGACAUUU